AACGAACGCUGGCGGCGUGGCUAAGACAUGCAAGUCAAACGAACCAUUAAUUUAUUAGUGGUUAGUGGCGAAAGGGUGAGUAAUGGAUAGGUAACGUACCCCGUACUCCGGGAAAGCGUCAGUCCCUUCGGGGACUUUCCGAAAGGGGCGGUAAAACCGGAUAAUGUCUUGUAUCGACAGAUACUUGACCAAAGAUUCAUCGGUAUGGGAGCGGCCUAUCUCCUAUCAGUUUGUUGGUGAGGUAACGGCUCACCAAGGCAACGACGGGUAGCGGGACUGAGAGGUUGGCCCGCCACAUCGGGACUGAGACACUGCCCGGACCUCCACGGAGGGCUGCAGUAACGAAUAUUGCGCAAUGGGCGAAAGCCUGACGCAGCGACGCCGCGUGCGGGAGGAAGUCCUUCGGGAUGUAAACCGCUGUCAGGGGGAAGAAAGUGCGCUUCGGCGCAUUGAUCUAACCCAGAGGAAGUCACGCUAACUU
rnacentral:rRNA from 1 species